CCCUCCUCUCCCCUGCUCUUCCCGCGGCCGCGGCCCGGCGGAUCCCCUCGAGCGGCCCCUCCGCGCCCCGCCGAAGCCAUGGAGCUGCUCCGCGGCGCCGCGCUCCUGCUGCUGCUCUGCGCCGCCGCGUGCUGGGCGCAGGACGAGUGCAUCUGCACAAAAAACAAGCGCGUCACCAACUGCGUGCAGCGGGAUGGCGUUUG